CAUCCUUGAGGCUGUCAAAUUGCAAAGGAGAGUUCUGCAUCUGCAAGUUAUUCUGUCAGAUUUUCUAUAUAGAUGAUCAUGUCAUCUGUGACUAAAGUCAGCUUCACUUCUUCCCAUCCAAUAUGGAUAUCUUUUUUUCCCCCUUUUUGGGGUCUGGAAACUGUCUCAAUUGAAGCAGGAAACCGAGAUAAGAGUCCUGGCUCAUGCCAAUCUUCAUCACCCUCUUGGGUAACAUCCUGGAGGGACGGGGAAGCCCUUGGAAAUAGACAAACAAGACAGUCCUGGGAGUCAGUGAAGAAGAAUGAAGCAUGAAUGUUCCCACAGCCAAUUUGCUUCACCUUCUGGUGCAUCUAUAGAAUGGAGCUCUACCUGACUGUAUCUGGCAGCUAGUAGGUGCUCAAUAAACAUCAGUUCCUUUUCUGAC